rnacentral:tRNA from 1 species
GCCCGGGUGGCGGAACUGGUAGACGCUACGGACUUAAAAUCCGUUGGGUAGAGAUACUCGUGUGGGUUCAAGUCCCACCCCGGGCACCA